UUUAUAUAAUUUAUUGAUGAUUGUCCUUAUUUUGGGAAUUUUAUCAAUUUAUUGUCAUUUUUUUUCAAGAGUCAUUAUUUUGCACAUGUAUAACGUAAUAUUACCAUUUUCGUGAAAUUAAUAAUUGUUAGCAAUACAUUUUCAUAUCUUGCACAUUAAUAUUUAUAUUUUAUACUUACGUUAUUAUUUAUACAUGUAUUAAUUAAUUAUAUUUUUAGUGUAGCCUGACAUAGCAGAGAAAAUCGGAGCAAUUAAUUUUUAAACGCAGAGCAAAAUUCAAUCAAAUCAAGGUCUCGCCACUUUUUUUUUUAAAAGUGAACAUUUUGAGGUGAUGGGUUAAAAUUUGAUUAGUUAAAAGAAAUAAGGGGACAAGGGGGUAUGACUUCACAUUUGUUUGGACUUUAUGUUAUAAAAUAAGGGGAGGGGUUUAAUUUUAGUGGAAUCCAACACAUAUUGGCACACAACACACUUACACUUCUCAGAUUUUUUUCCCCCUCAUUAUUCUCCAUACCUAAAUUUUUCAGAUUUUGGCAUCCUCUCUCUCUUCUAAACCUAAUAUUUCUUCUCUCCCUUCUCUUUUACAAAAUCGCCGCCGCCGCCUCUCCACGCCGGAGCUUCGAGCUCCGGCGACGCACCUAAACCACCCUCACACGCCGACAAGCCUCCACACCUCCACCACUUCGUCUCCCUCUACUCCCUCCGCCACAUCUCUCUCUUUCCACAGCCGCCGCCGCUCCCCGUCCCCUUCUCCUUGUUGUCCAAGCGUCAACAACAACGACCAACCAGCCCACAAAACAUUUUAUCAACAAAAAAUAUCUUUUUCCAAAACGCCUCUAUCAAAUGGAAGAACACAUUUGUAUUCAAAAACCCAAUUCUCAAAAUGACCAAAUGAUCAAGAAUUGGGAAAAUCUCUGUUCAGAUAUCACAGAAAAAAAUAAUCUCUUAUCUCCCAAUUCGUUCUAUAGUUAUUGCUUCCUCUGUUUGCAAGAUUUGGAAUUCUAUAAUUACCUCUAAUUCUUUCACUACCAAAAUAUCAGGUGGUGUUAGAUUUGUUGGUGGAUUAGUUGAUGUUGAGGACCGUUUGGCUGUUGAGAUUUAUAAUCCAACUUUGGAUUCUUGGGAAUUGUGCCAACCUUUGCCAGCAGAUUUUAGUUCAGGGAAUUCAUCACAGUGGUUAUGUUCAGCUUUAUUAAAAGGAAAAAAUUCUAUGUUUUUGGGAUAUAUUCUUGUUUUGUUACAUGUUUCAAUUUGGAUGAACAUUUGUGGAGUGAGGUAUCCGGAGUUACUUUUUGAAGAUGGCACUCAAAAGAAGUUCAAAUAGCUUCUUAAAUUCUUUGUUUAUAUUUUCUUUUACAUUCUUAAAUUAUGCAAGCAUAAAAUAUAGUGAAACUUUACUUUUUAGGGUGUAGGUUGGUUGUAUUUAUUUAUGAUCUGCUUAGGUGAUUUAAAUUUUAUGUGUUUUAGACAAAUUAAUUUUAGGCAGUUAUUAUUUUUGUAGCUAAUAUUCUUAUAGUUA